UGACCACCGGAAGAAAACAAAAAAUGCUACAUUAAAAUGUAAAUCUGAAGUAUCAAGUACAAUGUACUUUAAAAACCAGGCUAUUGAUAUUCAUGAAUAUGAGAAUUAUUGGUAUCACACAUACCAGGUGCAUUUGUGCCCCCCUUCUGUUAAGAUGGUUA